rnacentral:misc_RNA from 1 species
UACAGAGGGUGCGAGCGUUAAUCGGAAUUACUGGGCGUAAAGCGCACGUAGGUGGUUUAUUAAGUUAGCUGUGAAAUUCCCGGGCUUAACCUGGGGUGGCCAGCUAAUACUGGUAGGCUAGAGUACAGUAGAGGGUAGUGGAAUUUCCGGUGUAGCGGUGAAAUGCGUAGAGAUCGGAAGGAACACCAGUGGCGAAGGCGGCUACCUGGACUGAUACUGACACUGAGGUGCGAAAGCGUGGGUAGCGAACAGG